CAUACGGGAGGCAGCAGUGGGGAAUAUUGGACAAUGGGGGGAACCCUGAUCCAGCGACGCCGCGUGAGUGAAGAAGUAUUUAGGUAUGUAAAGCUCUAUCAGCAGGGAAGAAAGAAAUGAAGGUACCUGACUAAGAAGCCCCGGCUAACUACGUGCCAGCAGCCGCGGUAAUACGGAGUGGGCAAGCUUUAUCCGGAUUUACUGGGUGUAAAGGGAGCGUAGACGGCGAUGCAAGUCUGAAGUGAAAGGCGGGGGCCCAACCUCCGGACUGCUUUGGAAACUGUAUGGCUGGAGUGCAGGAGAGGUAAGUGGAAGUACUAGUGUAGCGGUUAAAUGCGUAGAUAUUAGGAGGAACACCAGUGGCGAAGGCGGCUUACUGGACUGUAACUGACGUUGAGGCUCGAAAGCGUGGGGAGCAAACAGGAUUAGAUACCCUGGUAGUC
rnacentral:rRNA from 1 species